rfam:Lepisosteus oculatus linkage group LG8, whole genome shotgun sequence.
UCCAGCAGCCAUAUCACCCUGCAACUCACAACUGGCAACCCACUGAAGCUAAGCGGGUGUGAGCCUGGUCAGUACCUGGAUGGGAGACCUCCUAGGAAAAACUAAAGUUGCUGCUGGAA